UAAAUGGUAUUGAAUAUCUUGAGCUCCCAGAGUUCCAUAAAACCAUUGUGCCUGAAGAUGUGGCCCAUUCCCUCUAAUUAAAAUAUAGUGGCUGUCCCCCUUGCUUGAAGAUCAUGCAGAGGCCUCAAAUGCAUCAGCAGCUCAAAAAGCAAUGUUUGCCCUCUUUAAACUGUAUUCCUACUUCCCUGGCAGGCGAUCACAUUAAGGGUUAAAUCCAAGCAAUGAACAAAGGAGAAGCCAGGGCCUGAUGGGGAAGGAACCUAGAAAACUGCAGUUCAAUUCAGGAUCACUUACAACUUCCCUAGGGGAUCAUAACCAUUUGCUCAGUGAGAGGAAAACUUCUGGAUGGGCAGAGCUCCCAGUAAUGGACUUGGUCAGCCAUUUUGUAUGGAACGAGAAACAGCCUGAGACUACUACUGCUAUUCAGUCUUCCAGAAUCCUUGUGCCAAGAAACCAGCAGGGAAGGAAAGGAGGCACCACCCUGGAAGAGGUAAUUGAUACGGUCUUCAG